GGCAGUAAAAGUCGUAACAAGGUCUCCGUUGGUGAACCAGCGGAGGGAUCAUUACAGGACUCGCAAGACUCCUACAACCCUGUGAACUUAACUAUAAGCACGUUGCUUCGGCGGGUGUCUCGGAGGGGGUUCUCCCUCCCCGAGACGCUAAACCCGCCGGCAGCCUACUAUACUCUGUCUCUUUGCGUUGGCAUCUCGAGUACAAUCAAACAAGUUAAAACUUUCAACAACGGAUCUCUUGGUUCUG
rnacentral:misc_RNA from 1 species